UGUCUGUCUGUCUGUCUGUCUGUCUGUCUGUCUGUCUGUCUGUCUGUCUGUCUGUCUGAUGAAAUUUUAGGAAUUAUGCCGUCCGACCACGAAGAAAAUGACUUGCUAGCGGAGGUAGACGACGAACCGAUGAGUGUAGAUCUGAAAGCAGUGCCGAAAGUUCUGACAGAUUUAAGAGGGCCUCUCAGUAAAAUCCACUCACUGGUUUGGGGAAGGAAAAAUAGAUUUAGC